rnacentral:rRNA from 1 species
GUCUACGGCCAUGCUACCCUAAACAAGCCCGAUCCUGUCUCAUCUCUGAAGCUAAGUACGGUCGGAUCUGGUUAGUACUUGGAUGAGAUACCACCUAGGAAGACCAUGCGCUGUAGGUG